rnacentral:rRNA from 1 species
GACAGAGGUGGCAAGCGUUGCUCGGAUUCACUGGGCUUAAAGGGCGCGUAGGUGGUCUUGUAAGUCAAAGGUGGAAUUCCACAGCUUAACUGUGGAACUGCCUUUGAUACUGCAAGGCUUGAGUCAGGUAGAGGAGGGCGGAAUUCCCGGUGUAGCGGUGAAAUGCGUAGAUAUCGGGAGGAAGGCCGGUGGCGAAGGCGGCCCUCUGGGCCUGUACUGACACUGAGGCGCGAAAGCGCGGGGAGCAAACAGG